UACGAAGGGGGCUAGCGUUGUUCGGAAUUACUGGGCGUAAAGCGCGCGUAGGCGGUGAUCUUUGUCAGAGGUGAAAGCCUGGGGCUCAACUCCAGAAUUGCCUUUGAAACGGGAUCGCUUGAGUCCGAGAGAGGAUGGCGGAAUUCCUAGUGUAGAGGUGAAAUUCGUAGAUAUUAGGAAGAACACCGGUGGCGAAGGCGGCCAUCUGGCUCGGUACUGACGCUGAGGCACGAAAGCGUGGGGAGCAAACAGG
rnacentral:rRNA from 1 species